rnacentral:rRNA from 1 species
UACGUAGGAUGCAAGCGUUGUCCGGAAUUAUUGGGCGUAAAGAGCGAGCAGGCGGUACGACAAGUCAGAUGUGAAAUAUCCCGGCUUAACCGGGAGGGGCCGUUUGAAACUGUCGAACUAGAGUGGAGCAGAGGACAGUGGAAUUCCCGGUGUAGUGGUGAAAUGCGUAGAUAUCGGGAGGAACACCAGUGGCGAAGGCGACUGUCUGGGCUUUAACUGACGCUGAGGCGCGAAGGCCGGGGGAGCAAACAGG